rnacentral:lncRNA from 1 species
UCCAUCAUGCUAUCAUUUAUUCAGGGACUUUUUAUUUGCUAAUACCUAUCUGUGCAUACAACUAAAUUCCUCAUAAUUAUUUCUCAAAUGGCUGCAAUUUCUUGAUCUGCUAACUAUAUGUAAAAUGUGCCAAAUACAGAAAUGACCAUGUCCAAAGGCUGAGGGACAAUGUGGAGGAACUGCUGGAGGCAUCCCAAGGGCUGGAUGAAGUGGCUAAGAAAAUAACUGACUCGGUGACCGUCAGCCGUGGUUCGUCACCAGUUUGGCCUGAAUUCAAACAGGCAUUCAUCUGUUUGAUUUGCAGAGCUACAAUGACUCAGCCGAUGUUUUCAUCCUGCUGCCGGACCCUGGUGGGGUGUACAUUUUGCGUGGAGGAAUGGAAAAGGACGUCAGAUCACUGCCUCAAGUGCAGGGAUGACCUGCCCAUUUAUACAGAGGUAGCUGGACUCUCUGCAGCACUGGACGCCUUGAAGUCCCUUCCCUAAAGAACACUAGGCUAGCUUGUUCGUUUAGAUGUUUUUUUUGAUGUUAUUAUGAUGUUCUAAUGUUUCGUGUUGUGUUAAU